CGGAUCGCCCCUUUGAGUAGCAUUUCUGAACAUGCCUUGCUUUAUAACCUCUGUCAUGUCCCCCGCUGCUGCUUGCGGACCUUAAGAAGACCAUUGGAGAGUUCAGAAGCAGUAAACGGCAACUGGUUGCUUCCAGUCUUGGAACAUAUUCUGUGUUAGCAAAGGGAUUCAGAACCAAGCUUGGGGUAAAGGGUUGUGAACUCUAUACUAUACCAGAGUAUAUAGUUCAUGCUAUCAGUUACUGUAAGUAGGUUCUUACUAUGUAAUUUCUGCAUUGUUUAAUGUAUCAGGCUAAUCUAUGUUUUGCUUCACCACUACUUCUGUUCUCUGGUUGAUUCCAGACUUCUGCAAGCCAAACCCUGAUUAAUGUCCCCGUGGAGAAACGCCAUUCUUUUUGAGUGUUUGUGGAAAGGCUGUGGGGUGAAACAUCUGAAAGCUGCAUGGGAGGGACCCCAUGCAAUUGUGGACAAACUGGACGAUAUUACCUGUGCCGUGGCAAUGGCGAGGUCUGGACACAAAACUAAAGUGGUGCAUGUGAACAUGCUGGAACCAUUAACCGAGAGGCCCAUGGUGUUGCCUGUCACUAGGAAGGAAGGAGAAAAUGCGAUGCUCGACGAUGACCCCUUAGACGUUCUGGCGCACUUCUCAGAGCCUGCACAACGGGAGGAACUGGGGUGGUGUACGGGAAUGUCCGGGCAUGACAAGGAAAAUACCCUUUCGGAGUUGCAUAAAUUUGUGGACAUGGACUCACACCUGGAACAUUUAGCGGAAGUGUUGGAGGCCCUACGACAAGCAGGCCUCACCAUCAAGCUGAACAAAAGGUAUACCUUGGAUAUAGGGUGGGGAGUGGGGGAAUCGCCCCAAUGUGGAACAAGGUGGAGGCUAUUCAAAAGCGGGAGGCACCACAGAGCUUUCUUAGGACUGGCUAACUACUACAGACGGUUCAUCCCAAAUUUUGGAGCGAUUGCAGACCCGCUUACCUCUCUCACCAGGAAACCAGCACCAGACAAGGUGGCUUGGGCUCGUAGCUGUCAGGUGGCUUUUGAGAGGCUGAAGACAGCUCUGGUCUCCAUGCUGGUCCUCAGAGCGCCUGACUUUGAGAAAAGGUUCAUUGUUACGGUUGCCAGCCUCCAGGUAGUGGCUGGAGAUCUCCUGGAAUUACAGCUGGUCUCCAGGCCAGAGAGAUCGGUUCACCUGGAAAAAAUGGCUACUUUGGGGGGUGGACUCUAUGGAAUUAUGCCAUGCCGAGGUCCUCACCCUCUCAAACUCCACUUUCUCCCGGUGUCUUCAGGUUUCACCGCCCAGAUCUCCAGGAAUUUCCCAACUUGGAGCUGGCAACCCUAUUCAUUGUUGCCACAGAUGCUUCAGAUCGUGAAAUUGGGGCGGUUCUAAUGCAGGGCUGGGAUGGAACCAAACAUCCUCUGGCCUACCUGAGCAGGAAACUUAUUCCCCGAGAGAAGAACCUGUCCUCAGUGCAGAAGGAAUGCCGGGCAGUUGUAUGGGCUCUGGACAAACUUCGGCCUUAUUUGUGGGGACAAGAGGUCAGCCUUCUCACUGACCCUUCCUCCUUGCAAUGGUUACAGGCCAUGAAGAACACCCAUUCGAAAUUGCGGAGGUAGUCCUGGACGAUCCAGGAAUGCAGCUUCAAAACUGAGCACAUUGCCGGACGAUAUAAUGUGAUUGCCGACUUUCUGUCCAGGACAAACGGAGAUACUUAGGGUGUGAGACUUCAUGGACAGGGCUGGAGCUCAAGCCUGCCUGGAAAGCUGGAAGGAAAUGAAUUCUGUCGCUUGCAGGAUCCCUCAGUGGUGACGCAAAGGUUCUCUG